rnacentral:rRNA from 1 species
UACGUAGGGUGCAAGCGUUGUCCGGAAUUAUUGGGCGUAAAGAGCUCGUAGGCGGUCUGUCGCGUCUGCUGUGAAAUCUCAGGGCUUAACCCUGAGCUUGCAGUGGGUACGGGCAGACUAGAGUGUGGUAGGGGAGACUGGAAUUCCUGGUGUAGCGGUGAAAUGCGCAGAUAUCAGGAGGAACACCGAGUGGCGAAGGCAGGUCUCUGGGCCACUACUGACGCUGGAGAAGCGAAGGCAUGGGGAGCGAACAGG